AUUUUUAGCAGUGAUGAUAAAUGUUAAUCCCAGCUCUACGAGACCUGUCACGGGUCGGGGAGUUGAAUUCUUGUUUCCAACGUUUAUCUGAGCCGUGAAAGU